UGCGUGCGCUUAUGCUGCAAGUUCGAGGGUAUAACCAGUUGGUCCGUAAGGAUCGGUUGGGGAAACCGGCGAACGGGUGCGUAACACGUGAGGAACCUGCCCCGAAGACCGUGAUAGCCCGGGGAAACCCGGAUUAAUACCGGAUACCCUCUUUGGACCACAUGGUCUGUUGAGGAAAUGGUCUGCCGCUUCGGGAUGGCCUCGCGGCCUAUCAGCUUGUUGGUGAGGUAAUGGCUCACCAAGGCCGAGACGGGUAGCUGGUCUGAGAGGACGACCAGCCACACUGGGACUGAGAUACGGCCCAGACUCCUACGGGAGGCAGCAGCAGGGAAUAUUGCACAAUGGGCGAAAGCCUGAUGCAGCGACACCGCGUGCGGGAUGAAGGCCUUCGGGUUGUAAACCGCUUUCAGGAGGGACGAAAAUGACGGUACCUCCAGAAGAAGGCCCAGCCAACUACGUGCCAGCAGCCGCGGUAAUACGUAGGGGCCAAACGUUGUCCGGAUUUAUUGGGCGUAAAGGGCUCGUAGGCGGUUCAACAAGUCGGUCGUGAAAACCCGGGGCUCAAC
rnacentral:rRNA from 1 species